GGGGGCGCGGAGGGAUACCGCCCCGGGACAAUCACGGCCGCCACGUGCGGGAAGCGCCGGGCGCCGUGGCGUUGCAGGGGAUGGCUGAGCCUCGGACCUCGGUUCGCGGAGUAGGUGGCUCCCGCGUCGCUCUCAGCACCCCAGGAACAGCGGUGGCAGAGACGACUUGAAGCCCCGCAGCAGGGCUGCGAAGCGCUUUUCUCUUGUAUGCGCUGCCCAAGAUACGGAAUCUUGAGGUGUCGGAUUGCAGAGUUGCCCUGGUGACGGGAUGCGGAGCGUUUCCUCUUCUUUGUGGUGGGGGCGGCUGGUGGCAGGGUCGCCCACGGUAAUCUCCAAGUCCCUAAGGGCACCCUCUUUCCUGGACCCGUUUUGCGCCUCGGCCAUAAACGCAGCCCCGCAGGCGCACUCCGGAAAUCUGAAAUCAGAGCUGGCGUCCGUGGCGCUCAGGAACCUUGCUGAGCUUCGCGGAUCUUUCAUUGUUGCCUCAUUUGGGUACCAGGGGCCUCGCAUUCUGCGGAUUGUUUGCCUGGAAGAGCCCCCUUAAAGUUGCUAAUCACGUGUGUGGUUAAAUGGCUCGUAAAUUCCGAACAAAACAAAUAGCAACCUGUGUUAACUGUUUCAUGGUAACUGGGAAAGUUACUGGUGGCUUGAAGUACACGCAGAAAAUGCAAAGGGAAAAACUAGGGAAGAGUUCACUGAAUGAACAUCAUAACAUUUCUGCUCUGCAGGGUAAAAUAAUUUCGGGACCCAGAUCUGGGAAAUAUUUGUAUUAACAAAGGUAAAAGGUGGGUAAAGUAGCUGAGAAGCUAUUCGUAUCAUCUUUGGUAGCCUGUGGACACUAGGACUAGACGUGGAAUUAGGAGUUCCCCAAGGACUUCAAUUUUAGGUUAAAAGAAACCAUCUGCCACUUAAGGGAAAGAAAGCACCAAAACGUCCAUAGGUAGAUGUUCACUGUUUAAAGUUAUCGUGUAAGGUCGCGAUUUGUAAGAGGAUUAAGGAAUGUAUCUCUAGAAAAGACAAGAACGUUGCUUUAAAAAGUCUUUAAUUGGUUCUGAAAUUUUAUGUUUUUUCUGCUGACUCCGUUGCAAUGUUCAGCUACUGGAGAAAGAAAAAAACAGUACAGUAAAAGAACCCCAAGUCAGAGACCGAUCAGACAGAGACUGUGUGUUUUCUCAUGUUCUAAAGAUACAGAAUACCUGUGUGGUAUAAAAUGUGAGCCCAAAAUUGUUUCUUUUUUGUACAUGUGUGUCCCACCUGAUUUAAUUACACUUAAUUGUUCUUGUUUUUGACUCGGCCUUUUGUGGUGGGUGUUGAUCAUUUUAGUCCUUUGAUCAUGGCAUUGUAUUAUCUCAAAAGUUAAUAGAUUAUUUGUAACACAGAUAUGCUAUGUGAGAAUUCAUCAAGCUGUACAUUUAUGCUUGUGUUCUUCACUGUAAGUAUAAUUCAACAAAUUGAAACAGUAAACAAGGUAGUGAUAGAAAAAAUAAAGUGAUGAUAAUGAAGUAUGUUGAAUUUUUAUUAAUUUACUCUUAAGGUUUUAAGAUAUAAUUUCUAGACAUCAUUAAUUGUUAUAGCACAGAGCCGGAAAUAACUACAUUCUUUUCCUGUUCUUUUAUUGUUGGCUUUAAACAGUGAAAGGGUUUGACCAACAGUAUUUUCGAAUUCACAAGAUUCUAAAACACAUUUAUUGGGUAAAAUAUUCACGAAAAUUUAGAAUUCCUGUCAUUUUUCUAUAUUUUUCUAAAUAAUACAUUUUAAAUUACUGUUUACUUUUCCAACAUGUUAUUCUUCCAGAAUUUCAAACAGUAAAAUUUAAACAACUAUGAACAAAUAUAUUCUGUAGAAUAGAUUAAAUUUUACAGUUUCAAUUUUUAGGUCAUAUAUUCAAAAAGAGUCCAUUUGCUGUCUUGCUUUUCGAUACUAUGAUAAAGUAAUCUGUGAUU